rnacentral:sRNA from 1 species
CGCAGGCACCGGGCCUUUGUCUAAGCCGGUUGGUCUCUGAGGCGGCCGUGGGUCCAGGUCGGGCUCCUCUCUGGGAGUCUGCGCCAUGGAUGGGGCUUCAGCCUCCUGCCUAUUUGCCGUCCUGCUACUUCCUCCCCGGCGGGCGCCGCGGCUCCGUGCCCCUCCGCGAACUGUGGAGUCGGCGGAGGCCUGGAAUCAGCGUGGGCUCCAGGUCGCUGGCAGCCGGGUGGCAGAACUCUUCCGAGGCUCCUUGGGAAGAAGCUACACCCGAGGGAGCCGGAUGGGCCUCGAAACCCUGGCCCGCUCUGGUUCUGGACCAUUGCAAGGGGAGCUGUAAACUGAGCUUUUCUAACGUGGGUUUCUGCCGAGUACUUUUCCAGCUGCCCCCUUCCCCCCAGCACACAGGAGAGCCUCUGUGUAGCCAGCGCUUGACAGUCGUUAGGAGACGAAACCAGACAGAGGGUCAAGUUUACAGAUGACCGUGUCUGCAAGAGUCACCUUCUGGACUGCUGCCCCCAUGACAUCCUGGCUGGGACGCGCAUGGAUUUAGGAGAAUGUACCAAAAUCCACGACUUGGCCCUCCGAGCAGAUUAUGAGAUUGCAAGUAAAGAAAGAGACCUGUUUUUUGAAUUGGAUGUGAAAGGGGGGACCCUACCCUCAGAACAUGA